rnacentral:sRNA from 1 species
AGACGAAGGCGGCGGCGAUGGCGGCGGGGAUAGUGGCUUCUCGCAGACUCCGCGACCUACUGACCCGGCGACUCACAGCCUCCAACUACCCGGGACUCAGUAUUAGCCUUCGCCUCACUGGCUCCUCUGCACAAGAGGAGGCUUCCGGAGUAGCCCUCGGUGAAGCCCCAGACCACAGCUAUGAGUCCCUUCGUGUGACGUCUGCGCAGAAACAUGUUCUCCAUGUUCAGCUCAACCGGCCCAACAAGAGGAAUGCCAUGAACAAGGUCUUCUGGAGAGAGAUGGUAGAGUGCUUCAACAAGAUUUCGAGAGACGCUGACUGUCGGGCGGUGGUGAUCUCUGGUGCAGGAAAAAUGUUCACUGCAGGUGUUGACCUGAUGGACAUGGCUUCGGACCUCCUGCAGCCCAAAGGAGAUGAUGUGGCCCGGAUCAGCUGGUACCUCCGUGACAUCAUCACUCGAUACCAGGAGACCUUCAACGUCAUCGAGAAGGUGACUCUAGGGGGCUGGAGGGCAUCCUUCUCCAUACCCGCCUCCCCUGGGCCAGCCUUGACCCCACUCUUCCUGUUCCCUCUCAGUGCCCCAAGCCCGUGAUUGCUGCCGUCCACGGGGGCUGCAUUGGCGGAGGUGAGUCUGCGGCUGUAUUCCUGCUCGGGUGCUCCCCAGGUCGGGCUGCUGCCCUGAUGCUGCGGCCACUGGCAUGCAGCCUCAGCUCUGUCAUGGGCCAGACUGUGUCCCAAGAGGCAGCCCCACGUCCCGGGAAGCGGGGUUGGUUCUGGUGGUCAUUCAGUGUCCUUGGCCUCUACCUCCUAGGUGUGGACCUCGUCACCGCCUGUGACAUCCGGUACUGUGCCCAGGAUGCUUUCUUCCAGGUGAAGGUGAGUCAUCCUCCCGAGCUCCUGCUUAGAGCUGGGCAGUGGGGUGGGGUUGGGGGGCCUGGAGUGAGGCUCGAGGGCUUCAUGGAAGAGUUGGAGUUGAACCUGACAAAGUAGACUUGCCCAUAGAGG